GACGAACGCUGGCGGCGUGCUUAACACAUGCAAGUCGAACGGAAAGGCCCCUUUGGGGGUACUCGAGUGGCGAACGGGUGAGUAACACGUGAGUAACCUGCCCUUGACUUCGGGAUAACUUCAGGAAACUGGGGCUAAUACCGGAUAGGAAUCCUUGCUGCAUGGUGGGGGUUGGAAAGCUUCGGCGGUUUUGGAUGGACUCGCGGCUUAUCAGCUUGUUGGUGGGGUAGUGGCUUACCAAGGCUUUGACGGGUAGCCGGCCUGAGAGGGCGACCGGCCACAUUGGGACUGAGAUACGGCCCAGACGCCUGCGGGAGGCAGCAGUGGGGAGUAUUGCACGAUGGGCGGCAGCCUGAUGCCGCAACGCCGCGUGCGGGAUGACGGCCUUCGGGUUGUAAGCCGCUUUCAGCAGGGGCGAAGCUUGUGGUGACGGUACCUGCAGAAGAAGCACCGGCUAACUACGUG
rnacentral:rRNA from 1 species